rnacentral:tRNA from 1 species
GCGCGUUUGGCGAAAUAGGCAUCCGCGUGCGACUUAAAAUCGCAUCCACUAAUGGAUAUCGGUUCAAGUCCGAUAACGCGCA